CCUACGGGUGGCAGCAGUGAGGAAUAUUGGUCAAUGGACGAGAGUCUGAACCAGCCAAGUAGCGUGAAGGAUGACUGCCCUAUGGGUUGUAAACUUCUUUUAUAUGGGAAUAAAACGUUCCACGUGUGGGAUUUUGUAUGUACCAUAUGAAUAAGGAUCGGCUAACUCCGUGCCAGCAGCCGCGGGAAUACGGAGGAUCCGAGCGUUAUCCGGAUUUAUUGGGUUUAAAGGGAGCGUAGGUGGAUUGUUAAGUCAGUUGUGAAAGUUUGCGGCUCAACCGUAAAAUUGCAGGUGAUACUGGCAGUCUUGAGUACAGUAGAGGUGGGCGGAAUUCGUGGUGUAGCGGUGAAAUGCUUAGAUAUCACGAAGAACUCCGAUUGCGAAGGCAGUUCACUGGACUGCAACUGACACUGAGGCUCGAAAGUGUGGGUAUCAAACAGGAUUAGAUACCCUAGUAGUC
rnacentral:rRNA from 1 species